GGGGGCAGAUGGAAAGAUAAACAAAGUGGACAGAUGGUAGACAGACAGGCAAAAAAUCCGGGAUCAGUCCAAGCAGAGAAACACAGAAAAAAGGGACGUAACAGGUGUGGCAGGUUGAUCAAACAGACAAAAGUGAGGAUUAAUCAAGACGCCUGACAGCUGGAGAAUAAACAGCAUCAAGACUGAAAAGAAAGAUAGAGAGCUGCUUCUGUUUGAGCCCAGGAUAUCUUCAACUAAUGAGGAGCACGUAAACCGGAUUUUUGGCGCCUCUCCUUUCUAUUGGCCUACUCCUUCAAAAGGGUUGGGGGCUCAGCUCUUGUCUCUGCCUGAUGCUGGAAUUUCCCAUCGGGUGCUUUGUGGGUGUCUUCAGGGAGACCCUGAACCUUUUUCCAGCCAUGAACCGGUUUAAUGUCCGACAAAAUGUAAUUUUCACAGACCGGUCUGUAUGAGGCUGAAGUGUAAAAGCUGUAUAAUUUUUCACAAUUUAUUUAUUAGCUUCCAAUUUCCCUUAACUUUUAAGGGGAAACGUUUAUCUUCAUCCUUUUUAAAAUAUCUACAACUCAUUUAAACUUUAUUUGUACUUUAGAUUUCAUGUAGGAACUUAAGGUGCGACCGAUGAAAAUAAAUAAAUAAAUCAAACCGUCUCUAAAGGCCCGUACACACCGGGACGAAUAUUCGCCAGGCGUUAUUCGCCAGCGUUU